GCCUCGUUAGCUCAGAUGGUUAGAGCAGCCGACUCUUAAUCGGCGGGUCACUGGUUCGAGUCCAGUACGGGGUAC
rnacentral:tRNA from 2 species